rnacentral:rRNA from 1 species
UACGGGGGGGGGCAAGCGUUGUUCGGAAUUACUGGGCGUAAAGGGCUCGUAGGUGGCCAACUAAGUCAGACGUGAAAUCCCUCAGCUUAACUGGGGAACUGCGUCUGAUACUGGAUGGCUUGAGUUCGGGAGAGGUGAGUGGAACUGCGAGUGUAGAGGUGAAAUUCGUAGAUAUUCGCAAGAACACCAGUGGCGAAGGCGGCUCACUGGCCCGAUACUGACGCUGAGGCACGAAAGCGUGGGGAGCAAACAGGG